GGGGAUCAAAUACUUAUUUCCCUCACUGUAGAUUUGGGUGUCAUCAGCAUACUGAUAACACCCAGCACCAAAUCUCCUGAUGACCUCACCCAGCGGUUUCAUGUAAAUAUUGAAAAGCAUUGGUGACAUAUGGAAUUCCUCAGGGCUCCAUUCUAACAGCUCUCGUUGAGAAGAGCAACUGUCACCAAGCUCCACCAUCUGGGAUCUGCCCAAGAGACAGAAGUGGAACCACUGCAGAGCAAUGCCUCCUAUCCCCAACUCCGCCAGGCGACCCAGAAGGAUACCAUGGUCGAUGGUAUCGAACGCUGUCGAGAGAUUCAAGAGAACCAACAGAGUCGCACUCCCUCUGUCGAUUCCCCGGUAUAGGUCAUCCAUCAGGCCGACCAAGGCUGUCUCAACCCCAUAGCCCGCUCUAAAGCACUUGAUAUGGGUCUAGAUAAUCAGUUUCCUCCAAAACCGCCUGGAGCUGGUCGGCCACCACCCUCUCGAUCACCUUGGCCAACAAAGGGAGAUUAGAGAUUGGCCUAUAAUUACCCAUCGCCGAGGGAUCUAGGGAAGGCUUCUUAAGAAACGGUCUAAUUAUUGCCUCAAGCAUGGAGGUACCUUACCCUCCCUCAGCGAUGCAUUUAUGAUAUUCACCAGGCCUCCUCGAAUAAUCUCUCUGCUAGAUUGAAGCAGCCAAUAUUGCAAGUUUAGAUAUUGGGUCACUAGUUGAUUUUUAAUGAUUUUUAAAAAUAGUCUAAAACUGCAAGAUUCGGCAAGUAAAUAGCGAGAUUUGCUUGUGAAGGGUCCUCCACCACAACGUCUGGGCAACUCCAAUGCAAACCCUGAAAUCAGGUCCAUCAGCUCAGUUAGGAACUCCAUUGAAUGAUGGGGUGAUCUGUACACCAACAGUAGUCCCAAUCUAUCCUUGGUCCCUAGGCUUAGAUACAGACAUUCAAUAUGGGUCAAUUCCCUGACAGGAAUCCUGCAAAGGGAGACAGUGUUCUUGUAGACCACAGCUACAUAUACAAAUGAUGUAAAGCUGCAUCCUUUAGGCACGAUAAGCCCCAUCAGGGUAAGAAUUUUGGUAACAGAAAUUGUAUAAUUGUGGUCUGUUAGCACUGUUUUGCUGCAGUCUGUACAAUCUAUAGAAAAAAAUACAAAUUGGCUGAAUAACAAAUAUUGUCAGCCAUAAUGGAUAUUGGUUUAGAGCUAAAUACAACUGUUAAGACUCAAUUUAUUUUUUUAAAAGACACACACAGGCAUUGGUGCUAGAUGAUUUCCCAGUCAUUCUGGGGACAUUCUUAAGUUCAUUCCCCUACCUCUUUAUCAAAGCUGUGCCAGUUGCAAUAAUAAUCAUACAAAUUAUGCAGCUUUAUUUAAAAAUGUAAUACUGUAUGCUCUGAGCCCUUGACAGAGGUGUUCUUAAAAUGUAUACCCAAGGUUUUGAAUUUCUCCCUAGAUACUCAAUUUCUUCCAGGGUUCACAUUUGCAACCUCUCCCAUCACCAGUGAUGUCCAUCCUGUCCUUGUGUACAAGAUCUCAUGGGAAGAAAUAUAUUGUGAGCUGUGGUGCUUUGUUUUCCACCUGCCUUGUACUCCUGGAACACCCAACUGUGUUUCUGUGCAAUUGGGAGUGUAUAGAAAAGGGGGGGGGGACUUUCUAUGUGAGUCAAUUCCCAGACAAUAUUUGGCCCCAGAUAAAGAAGUCAUGUCCAUUCAACUAUACCCCUCCCUUGCUCUCCUUUUUUUCAUAAGGAGAAAAACAAAAGGAAGUAAAUCACAUAUUUCCCAAAUGCAUUCUUCCACACAGAGGCAGAUUCCGGUGGUGAGAGAGCAUUAUACCAACUGCACAAAAUUGUAUCCGUUGAAGGCCCAACUUUUUUACAAUGACUUCCAGAAACUUAUAAAUCACAUCCCAGAUCAUAUUCUGUAGAAAGACCUGUUGACAAAGCCCUGAUGACUUGACAAUGGCAACAGCAAGAACAUCAAGUCACUUGAAGAUACCAAAAGGGCUGACUUGUUGGCAACAGAGCCAAGUGAAUUUGGGUUUGCUAUUAGGGGACGGAAGGAGCAGAAUACUGGCUAAAUAUGCAACUGAAGAAUGUUGUAUCUGUUCUUUUGCUUCUGCCCUCUGCCAUAAACUUAAUUUUUUUUUAAUGAAGUUGGAACUUGGGUCCCCCAAGAACAUUGUCUCUCUUAAGAACAAAAAGCAAUAUUUACUUACCUCUUUAGCCCCAGAUUCUCUCAGUAAUUUAAUUAUGGGUGAAAUGGUGUUGCCUCUUACAAUGGAAUCAUCAAUAAGGACAACACGCUUCCCUUUGAAAUUGUCUGACAAGACACCAAAUUUUUUGGCCACUCCAAGCUGCCUUAAUCUCAUGUUUGGCUGAAUGAAAGUUCUUCCUACAUAUCUGUUUUUGCACAAUACUUCAAUAUACGGUAAUCCGCACUGCAAAUAAGAUAAAAUAGAAUUUAAAGUAAUGAUCAUCUGGCAGUGAGAAGCACCACAAGCAUCAAUGUUGUGUAAAUCAAAAUGUUUGUAUCAAAAGCAUCUCCUAAUAAAAAUAAGAGUUAAUUCAGGAUGAAGGAAAGAGACAUUCAUCGUACCUUUUGUGCAUAGCCGAGGGCUGCUGGAGUUGCAGAUUCUGGGACAGUGCUAACCAAAUCUGCUUCCACUGGGGCUUCAAUAGCAAGCUGUUGACCACAUCUCCUUCUCACAGAAUAAACCAUUUGACCUAUAGAGAUUUGAUAUGCAAAGGUAACAUAUAUCACUUGACAUAAUUGAUGACGACUAUUCUUGUUUGAUAACCUUAUUGUUUUGUAUUGUGAAAAUGCCAUCAUAAAAAACAUUUUAAAAAGAUUUUAACUUUGUUUCUCUCUUUUUCUAUACAGCUUUAAUUUGUACGUUUCUCAAUCCUUAGCUAACAAAGAGUGUUAUGAUUCAUUUAGAUAUCUCCAAAGCAAGCACAAGUUGCAGGAAAUAAACAUUUCAAAUCCUGAGACAUCCCGGUCUGUUUCAACCAGCGUUUUAUGGUCCCCUUUUAAUUUUAGCUUAAAGCCGUUUAAAAAAAAGAAGAAGUGUGUAAUCUCAUUCUUGCAUAAAACUACAUGCAAGAAAAAGCGACUGAGAAGAAUGUUCCAUGGAAGUUCUAUGUACAUAAAAGGCCAGCACUCUAUGAACAUCCAGGGUAUGUAGACUGUGUUGUGCAUCAUCCAAAGGCUUAGGAAAGAACACUGGCAAGGUGAGUGGCUGGGACCAGUGAAAGGAGGAGACAACUUUGGGAAGGAAGGUGAUGUCAGGGCAGAAAACCACCUUGUCCUUGUGGAAGAUCAGGUAAGGUGUGUCCGCUCUUAAUUAGCUUACUCUCCUGGUGGACGUGAUGAUGAUGAGGAACACCACUUUGUAGGAAAUCCAAAGAGAUGGUUUGCAUUGGCUCGAAGGGAUUUCACAUGAAGCAGGUGAGCACUAGUGAGAGGUGUCAAGCUGGGGCCAUGAUGGGUGGGUCUGGGUAUAGGUGGGCCAGGCCCUUGAGAAAGUUCCCAAUGAAAGGGUCCUUGAAGAAGGAUGUAGGUCUGGGUGGUGAAUGUGCUACAAUGGCCGCCAGGUGAAAUCUGAGAGAAGAGAGUUUAAGACCGGAUUCUUUUAAAGAAAGGAGGUAAGUACAAAUGUGCUCUGUUGACAGUUGUUCUGGAGUAAUGUUGUGGGAGUGGAGAAAGGUUAAAAGGUGCAUUCAUUUAUACUGAUAAGUGUUCAUUGUUGCAGGUUUCUUGGAUGCGGACAAGACUCAUUGUAGAGGCUGUGGGAAGAGGGUCAUAUCCACCACACAGUGAGGUGCAACCUGUGGAGGUCCAGGUGGAGGAGUUGUCCAGAGUGCUGAGAGAUAAGGAGUCUGAUCAAUAAAAAUACAUGGAUAAAUGUUUUCACAAGAGAACUGGAAUAGAAACUUAAGUAGAAGAAAUGGUCCCUCAAUUAUUGCCAUUUUUUCAGUUUUUUGAUAUAAUGGUAACCUGUACUGGAUCAUUACUAUUAAGACUGUAUUCACUGUGAGUACAAUCAAAUUGGUGCCUGCAUUCUAUUAUCUGUUUUAUACUUCUUGCCUUUUUUUUUUCUUGUUUGUUCAUACACACACACUUCAGAGGAGGAGAAAAUUUGACUGUCUUAUUUUUACAAGUGGAUGCAUUUGGGAAAGGAACAGUCAUACAAUUUUAGACAACAUUUCUCAUAUGUAAUGUAAAAAAAACACCAUAACUUAUACUGGUUUUAUUUUUAACUGCUCCUUUUGAAUAUUUGCAGAAUAUCUGUGUAAACCAUUUUAUACUAAGGUGUAACUACACUGUAGAGAAAUGUUAUCUAGAAUGAUAUUAUUGCUCCAUGCAUUCUUUUGCAAAGAAUAAAGUUGUCAAAUUUUCUACCACUCUAAUAAAUAAAAUGUGAAAAAUACUAUCACUUGUACUAUAUAUGUAUUACAUACGUAUCCUCUUUCUCUCUCUCAUUUGCUCAAGCAUGGUUCAUUAAAAAUAUUGAUGUUAGGGAAGUCAUACCUUUUCCAUUCAUAUCACCUACUGGAACAAGACGACCAAUGCAGAGUGGUCGGUUCCCAUAGGGAUCACGUACUGCAUAGAUAAUAUCUUUAUGCAUAAUCAGAAGAGAAUAUGAGGUGGGUGUUUCAUUCAUCAAGUUUUUGA